GUACGCAGACCUUACCCCUACCCUUGAAUAGAGAGGCUAUUUCCAAAUAGACCAUCUGACAUUCUUACCAUCUUAGAAAACCUAUUUGAUACCCUUAGCUGUGUUAAUAUAUAUGGUUUUCGCAAGGCAAAAAAGAAGAUAUUGUUGUAGUAGGUGUGAAGAUUUUGGUAAUCCGUAGUACUGAAUAAAGUAAGUUUCAUUUACAUCAGAGUUUCUUUGUUUGCCUGAUUGAUGUUUUAUCAUGUGGAGUCUGUUAUAUAUGGUCCAUUAUAUUUAUGUGGCGAUCGAGUACUGUGUAAAAUGUCUUGAAUACUUUCAAGUCUGAAAUAAAUAUUGUUGCAGCAUUUACUUUUUGAAGUGAAAAAUAACUGCCUUUGUUUUGUGUACUAGGUACUGCCAAUUAUUUUUAUUUACACGGCUCGAUCUGUUGGACUCAUGUUCAUAUUAUCCAGUUAAAGGUUUAAUAAUUUAAUUUUUUUUUUAUUUUCAAUUUUAUUUGAAAUUGGAUUCGAUUUAUUGAUAUUUUGAGUGUCUUUAAGAGAAAACAAUACUCAUGAUUUAUAAAUAGAGCAAUCUUAGAGAAUUGUUUUAUAUUUACUAAUUCAAGUUUUUGAAAGACUUAAGCACAUAAGAAUAGUUUUUGAGAGAGCUUUCAUCAAGAGAGAAGAGAGAAGAAAAAUAUUUAUUUUCCUGUAGAUUUUUAUUUCGAUCAGCCAACAUUAAAUUCACGUUUUCUUAUUCGUUAACUAUUGGAUCGGACUGAAACUUUUACCGAGAGUUCGUAACAUCUUGUUCUUGGAUUUGAACGGUGAAGAUCGGAUUUGUAGACUUGUAGCAUCUGAUUUCGUGCCUCGAACAAUAGCUUCAUUUUUUGUGGAUUAUACUCUUUCUUUGAUUAAUUAGUUGUUGACUUGUUGUUAUGCUCCGUGUUUGUCACUUGUUGUGUUGUUGAUUUGAAGAAUUUUGUAAUCUUCUUAUUAUUAUGGUGGAGUUUUUUUGGAUCUUUGUGAUCCCGUGAUUUUUACCUUCAAUUUGAAGGGUUUUCCACGUUAAAACUUAGUGUUCUUUAUCUUUUUUAUUUUCGAAUUUAUUUCUUCUUGUACAUAACACGAACCUAGACCACUUAUUAAGAAUAAAGGGAUCUUAUUCAUCCACUCAAACCCUCGGUAGUGAGACCUCUAUUAAUAUC
rnacentral:lncRNA from 1 species